UACGAAGGGUGCAAGCGUUACUCGGAAUUAUUGGGCGUAAAGAGCUCGUAGGCGGUCUGUUGCGUCUGCUGUGAAAACCCGGGGCUUAACCCCUGGCUUGCAGUGGAUACGGACAGACUAGAGGUAGGUAGGGGAGAAUGGAAUUCCCGGUGUAGCGGUGAAAUGCGCAGAUAUCGGGAGGAACACCGGUGGCGAAGGCGGUUCUCUGGGCCUUACCUGACGCUGAGGAGCGAAAGCGUGGGGAGCGAACAGG
rnacentral:rRNA from 1 species